AUACGGAGGGUGCAAGCGUUGUCCGGAUGUAUUGGGUUUAAAGGGUGCGUAGGUGGUUUUUUAAGUCAGUGGUGAAAGCCUACAGCUUAACUGUAGAGGUGCCAUUGAUACUGGGGAACUUGAGUAUGGACGAGGUAGGCGGAAUUUGUGGUGUAGCGGUGAAAUGCAUAGAUACCACAAGGAACACCGAUAGCGAAGGCAGCUUACUGGGCCAUAACUGACACUGAGGCACGAAAGCGUGGGGAGCGAACAGGAUUAGAUACCCUAGUAGUCC
rnacentral:rRNA from 1 species